UACGUAGGGUGCGAGCGUUGUCCGGAAUUACUGGGCGUAAAGCGCACGUAGGCGGUCCAGUAAGUCGGGUGUGAAAUCCCUCGGCUCAACCGGGGAAGUGCAUCUGAAACUGGCGGGCUAGAGUACGAAAGAGGGUCGCGGAAUUCCCGGUGUAGAGGUGAAAUUCGUAGAUAUCGGGAGGAACACCGGUGGCGAAGGCGGCGACCUGGGUCGAUACUGACGCUGAGGUGCGAAAGCGUGGGGAGCAAACAGG
rnacentral:rRNA from 1 species